AGAGAACGCUUUUUAUCACAAAGAUCAAGACAACAAUUGUGUGCCUACAAGAAAAGAACAACUAAAACCAUCCAACAAGCAUUAAAAGAACAAUUCUAGAGAUAGUUGCCUUUGAACUCCAAUAAUGGGUAACAUUCAGUCCCGAGAUUUGAAUUCCAAGUUAAAAGAAUUCAUUAUCAGUUGCCUUAUCUUAUAGUUAUAAGAGCUGCUGGCAGCAAGUAUUUUCAGCAGCAUUAUUUUUGUCCAAUGUAAUAUUUUACAGUGAUGUCAAAUCUCAUACAAUAACCAUAUUGUAAAUUGACUUUAUAGACUUCGUUUUGUUUAUUAUAGAGUUCAUCUAUGAAACAGAAGAAAUCUAAAUUUUGCCUUGGCUUCACCCCAAACUACAAAAAGUACUGUUUUACAAGAGCUUAUUCUGAAAUAUCACUUCCUGAACGUAGAAGUAUGCUAUUUGCACAGAUACAUUCCAUAGACAUACACAAUGUCCAGCUGAGAAAAUAAAGGAUAGUCCAUCUGGAUGUUUCUUUCUUUCUCCUAACUGUGACCUCCUGCUCCAGAGAGGACACCAGCAUCUUUUGCUACUGAGGUAUCAAACAACCAUUCCUGCUGGGGAACCUCAGGGAGGGAGAACCAGAUGUAUAUUCUUCUCCCUCCCAAGAAGCAGCCACUGUUGAGCCACUUCAGGAACAGAGCUGUCACCUCUCUCAACCCCACCAGGCCCAGGUAAUAUACACUUCUCAAAAGAGGACAAAGAAAUGACCAACAGGCAUAUGAAAAAAAUGCUCAACAUCACUAAUCAUUCAGCAAAUGCAAAUUAAAACAACAAUAAAUUUGACCUCAUAA
ensembl:lncRNA novel transcript